GCCAGAAGCCAUAUCACCCUGCAACUCACGACUGGCAGCCCACUGAAGCUCAGCAGGUGUGAGCCUGGUCAGUACCUGGAUGGGAGACUCCUGGGAAAAACUAAGGUUGCUGCUGGAA
rnacentral:rRNA from 1 species